ensembl:lncRNA novel transcript
CUUCCCUCCUCUUUGUCAACCGCAUGUACAGUAAGAAAAGCAGACAAGAUGGCGCCGAUCAACUGGAAAUCCCAUUUGCUUAAGAUUAGGGUGGGGCGACCAGCCUUCCCCACGCACUCUAUGGAUGUCAUGCCGGAUGGAACCAAUCUUUGAGCCCUACGUAAAUGAAACACCGCCUUCACCAGCCUGCCUAUAAAGUCUGCAGAGUCCUUGUCCACACAUCUCAUCACACACGUGCGCAGCAAACAGGCACACCCAGUGUGAACCCAGGCACAGCUCUCCGAGAGAACUCUAGUCAACACGUCGUCCGUGGGACAUCGGCUGUAUUUCUGUUCCUUUCCUUCUUUUCUGUCUCUUUCUCUUAUUUCCCAAAACUCCGUUGUGUUUCUGAUUUGUUCACAUCGCUUUCGGCAAAAGGAAAACACAAUGGUAAGUGGGGUUUAUAAAUCUAUCUUCGUUAUCAAGGGAAGAUUGAAACGGCAUGGAGACAAAUGAAAUUAACUGUGCACGGGACACACCGUCAACAAAACGCUAAUAAGUGCAGAAAGACUGUUUAGCAGGAAACAUGUCCAAAAAAAAAAAAGAAAA